rnacentral:rRNA from 1 species
GCAAAAAGUUCUAAAGUUUGUAAUCCCGAAACUAAGUGAGCUACUUCAAAAUAGCCUUAUAGGGCCAACUCGUCUCUGUGGCAAAAGAGUGAGAAGAUUUUUAAGUAGAAGUGAAAAGCCUACCGAACUUAGAGAUAGCUGGUUAUUUGGGAAAAGAAUAUUAGUUCUGCCUUAAGUUUAAAAACAUCAAAAUAACUAAAUAAUAAACUUAAGAGUUAUUCAAAUAAGGUACAGCCUAUUUGACACAGGAAACAACCUAAAAACUAGGGUAAUGCUUAAUAAAUUAAUAAUUAAGUUGGCUUGAAAGCAGCCACCUUUAAAAAAGCGUCAAAGCUUAACUAUAACUAAUUUUAAUUUCCAUUAAAAUGCUAAACCCCACCCCACUACCAAAUAACUUUAUAAUUUUAUAAAAUAUAUUAUGCUAGAACUAGUAAUAAGAAUUAGAAUUUCUCCGAAAUAU